GCUGGGCACGCUCGUGCGUGCCUAUAGUCCCAGCUACUCAGGAGGCUGAAGUGGGAGAACUGCUUGAGCCCAGGAGUUCUGGGCUGUAGUGCACUAUGCCAAUCGGGUGUCCACACUAAGUUCGGCAUCAAUAUGGUGACCUCCUGGGUGCCAGGGACCACCAGGUUGCCUAAGGAGGGGUGAACCGACCCAGGUCAGAAACAGAGCAGGUCGAAACUCCUGUGCUGAUCAGUAGUGGGAUUGUGCCUGUGAAUAGCCACUGCACUCCAGCCUGGGCAACAUAGCAAGACCCUGUCUCA
rnacentral:SRP_RNA from 1 species